AGAGUCCUGGAGAGAAGCGCGUGUAUUUAUUGUGACGCCACUGAGUUACCGGCGACAUACGUAUAACAUUUCAGACUCAAUGGCGUAAACAGCGGCUGAAAAACAACGGCUUUAUAGG